CACUCCUGCGAGGCAGCAGUGGGGAAUAUUGGACAAUGGGCGCAAGCCUGAUCCAGCCAUGCCGCGUGAGUGAUGAAGGCCCUAGGGUUGUAAAGCUCUUUCACCGGUGAAGAUAAUGACGGUAACCGGAGAAGAAGCCCCGGCUAACUUCGUGCCAGCAGCCGCGGUAAUACGAAGGGGGCUAGCGUUGUUCGGAUUUACUGGGCGUAAAGCGCACGUAGGCGGACUAUUAAGUCAGGGGUGAAAUCCCGGGGCUCAACCCCGGAACUGCCUUUGAUACUGGUAGUCUUGAGUUCGAGAGAGGUGAGUGGAAUUCCGAGUGUAGAGGUGAAAUUCGUAGAUAUUCGGAGGAACACCAGUGGCGAAGGCGGCUCACUGGCUCGAUACUGACGCUGAGGUGCGAAAGCGUGGGGAGCAAACAGGAUUAGAAACCCGGGUAGUCCCA
rnacentral:rRNA from 1 species